GGGCCCGCACAAGCGGUGGAGCAUGUGGCUUAAUUCGAGGCAACGCGAAGAACCUUACCUGGUCUUGACAUGCCCGUCAUAGUUUUCCGAAAGGAAUUCGUCAGUUCGGCUGGACGGUGCACAGGUGCUGCAUGGCUGUCGUCAGCUCGUGUCGUGAGAUGUUCGGUUAAGUCCGGCAACGAGCGCAACCCUCGUUCCUAGUUGCCAGCGGGUAAUGCCGGGGACUCUAGGAAGACAAACCUCGUGUAGAGGUGGGAAGGUGGGGACGACGUCAAGUCAGUAUGGCCCUUACGACCAGGGCUGCACACGUGCUACAAUGCUUGGUACAAUGGGACGCAAUACCGCGAGGUUGAGCCAAUCCAUAAAACCGGGCCCAGUUCGGAUUGGAGUCUGCAACUCGACUCCAUGAAGUUGGAAUCGCUAGUAAUGG
rnacentral:rRNA from 1 species